AUAUAUAUAUAUAUAUAUAUAUAUAUAUAUAUAUAUAUAUAUGAUUUGUUUUUGUUACAAAACACACAAUUAACUUAGAAUAUGUGAUUAUUGUUAAUUUUAUUUAUUUAUUUUUUUAAAUAAAAAUUAAAAUCACUGGGGAAAACUGGGAGGGCGGCGCCCUAUCGCCCUCUACUGGCCAGCCGCCACUGAUGAUGAGUCAGCAUAAAUGUGCGAGGUGGAGGACCUCCUGGCUGAUGAGUCAAAUCCAACUGAUGUUCAAUUUUGUACCGGACUAAUGUAACUUUUCUAUAUCAAUCUUAUAUUUUAUUUAUGAUUGUAUAGGUGUUUUAUAAUGUCCUCCCUAGGAUGCCGACUGUACAACUGGCACAGGACUACAGUUGUAAACUAGCCUAUGGCUAACUCUGGCAUGUUUCAGCGUGACUGAUGUUAACAUGCACUGUCCUGAUUAUUAAUAAAUAAAUUGAAAUUGAAAAACCCGAGUACACGUAGUACUACUGCAACAUGUUUAUAAUCAAGUAAAAGUAAAAUUAGUCGCUAACACAGUUUUUAUUUCUGGGCGGGCCUGAUCGUUUCCUCUCAUCAUUUUCAGAAAUAAUGAGGUAACCACUGGACAACAGGAAUAACAUCUUUAUGGUGCUCUGUCUCCUAACAACACCCACUCUUGUGACCUCAUCACUCUUUUCUCUUCAUGACCUCCACUGGCUUCCUCUUCCUCAGAGCAUCACAAAAGUCCUCCAUAACCAGGUGUCAUGCCAAUGUAAUUAUUAGUGGUGUGCAUCUCCACCUGCCUCACGAUUCGAUCCGAUUCCGAUUAUCUGCCUAACGAUUCAAUUUGAGUCUGAAAUGCAUCACGAUUGUUCACACAAAAUUUUUCAUUACUUAAUAAAAGCAGUAGAAUAGUUUUCAAUUUAUUUUUUAUUUCGAUAUCCCUGAAAUACAGAACAUACAUCUAUUCACUAUAGUGAGCAACAAUUUUUAAAGUGUGCUGCCUAUAAUUACUUAAAUAAUAUAAUAAAUAAUGUUUUCUGUGGAGCGGCUUUAAGAUAGAAUAUUACUGAACUUAAAAAUAGUAAACAAAUACUGUGCAGAGAGCUGCUUUAACCAAUCACAACAGGUGACAGCAGUCAGUACCGGUCGCUCGUGUACGUCAAAGCUAUCUUUCAUAAGACGAUAAUCAAUAAAACGAUUUAUAUAAAGUGGAUCCAGAAGUUGUAGCCCGUCUCUGCCUACAAUAUUUAGAUAUUUUUCACCCUGUUGGUGGUUUUACUGAGCAGGUGCCACUUUUGUCAUACAUUUCUUUUUAAAACAUGUUUAGACUGUUCAGAAUACAAAUCCAGGCUCUGUCACGUUUAAUUGUUGUAAUUAAACUUUGUAGGUGGGGAAGGUCAGAAAAGGAUCCGAUCAUUUUGUUUUUCCCUCAUUUACAGUGACGGAGAUGACGGCGCAGUGCGCCUGGUUCUGGUGUUCAUCACGUUAAAUUAUAUCUAUUUGCAACAAUUUUCACAAGAAAACAAAACCGUUAAAAGCAGGCCUUGUGUUGACCGGACAGUUCCCGUAUUUGACCGUCUAUUUUGACGGAGAAAGAAUUACCCCGACGCAUGCAGACGAACUGACAUUUUAUUCGUUAAGCACAUCGCAGCUGUAGCUAAAUCGCUCAAGAAAAGAUUCCCAUCUGAACAUCUGAGCUGGACACGGCUUAGACAGCUCGCCGUCAGCGCGUACGUAUGGUCCACAGCGAGCUGAAGAUGUGUAGAGGGGCGUCGCAGAACCAGAGCGCAUGCGGGAAGAUUCCUCCGACUGAAGCGAGCGUUUUCCAAACCCUGUCCCCCAGAGAGACUUGUCACUUAGAAAAUGUUCCCUGAUUAUGAAACUUUGGCUGAAUUGUGCUUGUUCCUGUCUCCAAUGUGGCGAUGCAUCCAGGAGCCGUCUGAGGAGAAGCCCAGAAUCUCACAUCCUCUUCAGCUCAGAAUGCGCACAAGCGUGACGCGUCAACCCGGUCUCACAGUAAGACCGGGUUGGACCUGUUCAGGUUUGCGCAGACAAUCUUUACAUUUAGAAUUGGCACACAGAUGUAAAAUUAAUGCAGUAAAAUAUAAAGCUUUUUUAAAAAAUAUCCAUUCAUUAUUUUACAAGCACAGAGAGCCGCAUUAGAUGGAUGGAAGAGCCGCAUGCGCUCCAGAGCCGCGGGUUGCCGACCCCUGGGCUACGGCAACGCAAUGCACAUGUCAUAGCAACUCUGCCCCUGGAAGUAGUUGUAAAACCUCAAAACUUGAUUUUCCUCACGCGUCCAGAACAUAGACAUUGUGAGAAUCUCAUUAUGUCAUGUUGCUGCAUCGAUGCAGGAUCAUACACGGCUGAAUCGCGAUGCAUCUUAGAAUCGAUCAUUUUUCCCACCUCUAGUAAUUAUCCCCGCCAGAGUUGGUUUCCCCUGCGUCGGGAGGGUGUACAGGUGUUAUGACAAAUUCAGUUACCCCCUCUAGAUCUGUUUCGUCUCCAACCAGCCAAAAAAUGCGUGUCCUAACCCUUACCCUAAUCAUAACCCUAUAACAAACUUGAAAUCGUCCCACAAACAUGAAAUCGUCCCACGCAAAACCAUACUUUUUUGGUGAUUGAAUGUUAUGGUUACAGUAGGUGUCAGGGUGAGGGUUAUUUUUUUGUGCCCAAGGCAGGGGAAACAAAUUUUGGCAGGGGUAACUACAUUGGCACGACACCGGCCCCUCCUACCUCUCUGCCCCGUUGCUCUCCCUCCUCUUCCUCCCCACAGGACCAAGCUCUGAACUUGGGGAGACUCCGCUUUCUCCAUUGCUGUACACAACUUAUUUUCAGAAUCAUUAUAGCCACACCUCCAAUAUCUCGCUCUGUUUAGUUGACCCUGUCGAACCAGAACCGCUGAAGACGCAGCGGCAUGCUCUCGUCUUCUUUUAAGUUCUGUUUGCCAUCCGAACAUUUGUGCAGAACUGAAAGGCUAGCUAGCUUUUCUCCACUAAAGUUAGCUCAACCAGAUGGCUCGUCAGUGAUGACAUUAAUGAUAACAAAUAAACUCGAUUGGAUCAACAGCUUCGUCAUUUUGUAAAUAUUGAAAAUAAAAUAAAAUAAAUGAGUUUUCAUUCGUUUUUGCUGGCAGCAAAUGUAACAUGAUCAUUACUAAAUCAACUAAAGCAAACGGGCCAGAAAUUGAUCCAUGACAUAUUUAGUGGGAGUUUGGAGGGCUGACACCAUGACUCAGAUGGUGGAGAUGGUAAUGCAGCAGAAACAGCAGGAAGCUUCAUCAAUCGUUCUCAUAGAAGAGCUGUUGUCGAACUUUUCAACAACUGACCACAUGUAUGUGUAUGCAUUUGAGCCAAAUGUGUACCGUAGAACUGGACCCGACCUCUGACGGUGCAGCUUUUGCUGAGAAGUUGGGGUCCACCCUCCAGAGGCAGGAGAACAACACUGAUGAUGAAGAAUGAACCUGGACCUGCUGGUUGGGGUGGAAUACAGAGACCUAGAAGAACCAUCACUGGCGAUGUGAAUUCUAUGUUUAUUGUAAUUGUACCUCUGUAACCGUGGAAACGGCCGACAGAAUUUCAGCUUUUUGUCCUGAGUUGCAUCAUGAAUCAUUUUGUUAUUUUGUCUGAUGCACAGCCUUCUGGGAGAACAGAUCCUAUUCAGUUGUUGAAGAGGAAAAGCCUUUGGAAAUGACAGGAGGGUAAUUAGGGGCAGGACGGAACCAGAACAUCCCCGCCCACCUCGCUGACCACCGUCUGAGGCUGGCUUUCGGUUGAGAACUGAUUUGUAAACAGUACAGGAAUAGCGAGGCCCACGUGAGCUGUUCCUGAGGCUCCAUCUUGGCUCUAAAUUGCUGCUCAGCCUCGUCCGCUUUUGCAAAUCCUUUUCACAAUUGCCUUAUUAACUGCAGCUCACUGCUGGACCCUUUAUGAGUUAUGGACUAAUUUGAGCACCCUCUCCCUUGUUUUCCAUAAUUGCUUCCAUUUCAUUGGCAGGCCUGAAGAGGAGCUGAAAUUUCAUUAAACGUGUGGCCGCACCUCAGGUGUUCAUUUCCCCCUCUCAUAAAGCCGGAGCCUUCCUCGUCCUCCUCCUUGUCCUCUGCCUCCCUCCUCCUCCUGCCUUUAUGGCAGCCCCUGGGUUUCAUUAGAUCAGCUGUGAGAUGAAAAUCUCCACAGCACUUUACAACGUCGAUCGCACCUUAUUAAAGCCAAGGGUACGGCGGCGAGGUCAUGUGAUUGAUGGAUGUAUCCAGAAAAGCGUUUUCGUGUGAGGACGCAGUCGGCCAUUGCUGUUUCCGGCAUUUGCAUCAUGAGGAUGUUUAUGAAAGCGUUAACGCCCGUCUGCAUGAACAGGAUACAGGAGACUUUUAUUUACUGAUGCUUUUAAUCAUCCUGUCAUUCAGCUGAUAUUUACUCUUACAGAAUUCUUAUGGGUGCUUAAAAUCCUAUAAAUGCUUAAAGGUUAACCAGGGCAUUUAAGCUGAGGCUAAAAUGGGAUAAACAAGAUGAAUCUGGUAAUCUACUGUUGGGAGCAGGUGUAAGAACUCAGUUUCCAAAGCGCUCUUGAAUGCAGCAUUACGCUUUGCCUCAUUUAAACUGGGCGGUGUGGGUCCGGUAGGUGUGCUGUUGUGUCUGUCCCACUGUAAAAGCUGAGCCGUACCACACCUGGACCCUUUCUGUUCUAACGGACCGGUUCUGUGAGGGUGGAGCUUCUUUUUCCCCCGUGUCUUGUCUGGCUGUGAAGAAAACAGAAUUGAUGUCUGAAUGCUGGUGACAAGCCUUACAGAUUUACUCUCAGGUGGAGCAUCAAAGCUUCUGCUUUAAUGCCACGCCCGAUACUUAAAACUUCAUUGUUAUUGCUUUUUGAAUGCUCUGUGAGGGCGGAGCUUCUGGCAUCACACAACUAGGGCUGCCACGUUUAGUCAACUCAUCACGACAACGUCGACAAACGAAAUAGUCGUCUAUUAAUUGCUAAUUAACUGCUUUUGACUAACCCCAGAGUGUUUCACUUCACCUCAUCGUUCACGGACGUGUGGAAGACGAGAAGGAAGAUGCCACAAAGCAAAACCCAAGCAGAGCUGCCACCUGGACGCCAUUAUUGAUUGGUUUAAUAUGUUCAGUUAUUAAUAGAAUGACGCCGUGACUCCCAUUUAGGUUUAUCCCACCUGCCCAGUGAGAGCCCAGCUGGUGGGGGGAACCAUCACCUGGAUAUGUUGACCAUAAAGUACCAGGAUCCACCUGUCUAGUGUACCACGAUCUUCAUGUAAAUCAGGUGGUUUUCUAGUUAAACUAAAGACUUCACCAAGAGAACCAUUGUUGUUGGACAGCUCAGAGGUCUAACUGAUCAGCCGUUCAUAAAACACAACCCUAAAACACCAAGUAAGGAUUUAUAAAAGCACUGAAAUGGCUCUGCCCAUUACCAGCUGGUCUGUUCCCUUAAAAUUUUUUGAAUAACUCAACUUAAAGAUGAUGAUUUCAUUCACUGUCACAUGACUGAACAAUUAUAUAUAUAGAUAUAUAUACACACACACACACACACACACACACACACAGUGGGGCAAAAAAGUAUUUAGUCAGCCACCGAUUGUGCAAGUUCUCCCACUUAAAAUGAUGACAGAGGUCAGUAAUUUACAUCAUAGGUACACUUCAACUGUGAGAGACAGAAUGUGAAAAAAAAUCCAUGAAUUCACAUGGCAGGAUUUUUAAAGAAUUUAUUUGUAAAUCAGGGUGGAAAAUAAGUAUUUAAUCAAUAAUAAAAUUUCAACUCAAUACUUUGUAACAUAACCUUCGUUGGCAAUAACAGAGGUCAAACGAUUACUAUAGGUCUUUAUCAGGUUUGCACACACAGUAGCUGGUAUUUUGGCCCAUUCUUCCAUGCAGAUCUUCUCGAGAGCAGUGAUGUUUUGGGGCUGUCGCCGAGCAACACGGACUUUCAACUCCCUCCACAGAUUUUCUAUGGGGUUGAGGUCUGGAGACUGGCUAGGCCACUCCAGGACUUUCAAAUGCUUUUUACGGAGCCACUCCUUUGUUGCCCGGGAUCAUUGUCGUGUUGGAAGACCCAGCCACGUUUCAUCUUCAAAGCUCUAACUGAUGGAAGGAGGUUUUGGCUCAGAAUCUCACGAUACAUGGCCCCAUUCAUUCUGUCCUUAACACGGAUCAGUCGUCCUGUCCCCUUAGCAGUAAAACAGCCCCAAAGCAUGAUGUUCCCACCCCCAUGCUUCACAGUAGGUAUGGUGUUCUUGGGAUGCAACUCAGUAUUCUUCUUCCUCCAAACACGACGAGUUGAGUUUAUACCAAAAAGUUCUACUUUAGUUUCAUCUGACCACAUGACAUUCUCCCAAUCCUCUGCUGUAUCAUCCAUGUACUCUCUGGCAAACUUCAGACAGGCCUGGACACGCACUGGCUUCAGCAGCGGAACACGUCUGGCACUGCAGGAUUUGAUUCCCAGCCGUUGUAGUGUGUUACUGAUGGUGACCUUUGUUACUGUGGUCCCAGCUCUCUGCAGGUCAUUCACCAGGUCCCCCCGUGUGGUUCUGGGAUUCUUGCUCACCGUUCUCAUGAUCAUUUUGACCCCACGGGAUGAGAUCUUGCGUGGAGCCCCAGAUCGAGAGAGAUUAUCAGUGGUCUUGUAUGUCUUCCAUUUUCUGAUAAUUGCUCCCACAGUUUUGCUCCUUUUUUUCACACCAAGCUGCUUGCCUAUUGUAGAUUCACUCUUCCCAGCCUGGUGCAGGUCUACAAUUAUUUUCCUGGUGUCCUUCGAAAGCUCUUUGGUCUUGGCCAAAAUGGAGUUUGGAGUCUGACUGUUUGAGGCUGUGGACAGGUGUCUUUAAUACAGAUAACGGCUGUGUCUCAAUUCAGGGUCUGCAUCCUACCUCGGCCGGAUUCGUCGGCCGGUUACGUCACAGCGCCGCGACUCGGCCUGUCCCAAUUCGAAGACUCCUUCAAAUGCGGUCGACGAAUGCGGCCUUCUUUUCGCCUGAAUGAAGGAUGGAUCCGGUGUAUCCUUCAAUGGGUAGCAUUUCCCAAGAUGCCUUGCGGGCCGGCCGGCAGAAAAACUUAAAAACAAUGGCGGACAGUGAAGCGGGAGCUGUCGGAGAGGAUUGCGCUUAUAAAUGACCAAAAGAGAAAACCAGGGAAUUUAUUAAGCUUAGGGCAGAGAUGGACCACUUUUGAUCACUGGAGCAAAGUAUUCGGCGGCUGUGGCAUGGAGACUAUUCUGGAGAAAAUGGGCAUCCAGGGGAAGGUGCCAGCAAUGACCAGCUUCUGGAGCUGAUCAGGGAGGACAUGAGGCUGCAGAGGGAGGCAGAGCAGCAGAGGGCCCAGGAGAGAAGGGAGAACUUUGACAGCUUUUUACUUUGCUAGAAAAAUGGUUAAUAAGGAUUAAACAUGUACAUGUAAAAGAAAUAUCUAAAUAAAAUCAAUUCUGUAUUAAACCCUUGAAUUCUAUUUUUGUUUACAAAUGAGAAUUGUUUACUAGAGGGUAUCCGCUGGGUCUUGAAAAGUCUUAAAAGGUGACAAAUCGGUUUUGGUCAAAUUAAGACCCUUAGAAAGUAUUAAAAACUAUUAUCACAUCUUUGCUCAGGCUCAGCUUGUCUAAAGUAUUUUCUCUGAAUUAGCUCUCCAACAGUCAAGGAAAUGAUUAACCCCCAGAGACCCACGGUUGUAACAUUACAACAUCAGAUUUAAGUCCACAAAAAUAAACCUUCCCCAUUUUUUUUCUUUUUCAAACAACAUUUACAUUGCUAAUAGGUCCUAUUGUUCAGUUCUGCAACACUAUUGGCUGUUAAAAUGUGUAAAUAGGCCCGUUUAUCUGGCCUAGAACAUGUGAAAGGUUAAAAAAAGAUUUUGCAGUUGUUUUCUAAAUUUGGGUUUCUGGGGGUUAAAAAGCUAAAUAAAACGUCAAGCUCCAUCAUUUAAAGUUCCUUCUCCCUUCUGCCCAGCGGUUCCACGGUUGCUAGGCGACGGAACGUUCGCCGAGGGAGUUCAUGAAGGCUAGGCCUGUCCAAAUUCACAGCCGUUAACAUCCGGUCUACCCGGCCGACGGAGGAUGCAGCCCACGUCGGCCGGGUGGGCUGGGUCCUUCGAAGGAUGCAGACCCUGAAUUGAGACACAGCCAACGUGUUCAAACAGGUGCCAUUAAUACAAGUAACGAGUGGAGGACAGAAAAGCUUCUUAAAGAAGACGUUACAGGUCUGUGAGAGCCAGAGAUUUUCCUUGUUUGAAGUGACCAAAUACUUAUUUUCCACCCUGAUUUACAAAUAAAUACUUUAAAAAUCCUGCCAUGUGAAUUCAUGGAUUUUUUUCACAUUCUGUCUCUCACAGUUGAAGUGUACCUAUGAUGAAAAUUACUGACCUCUGUCAUCAUUUUAAGUGGGAGAACUUGCGCAAUCGGUGGCUGACUAAAUACUUUUU